UGAUGCUUUCUUAUUCAUUAUACCUGCUGC
rnacentral:piRNA from 1 species